AUAGUACUUCCUCCGUCCGAAAAUACUUGGCUUAGAAAUGUAUAAAAUUGAUGUAUCUAUAACUAAAAUAAGUCUAGAUACAUCUAUUUCUAGGACAAGUAUUUCCGAACGGAGGGAAUAAUAU
rfam:Hordeum vulgare subsp. vulgare, WGS project CAJW01000000 data, contig: morex_contig_1585472